UACAGAGGGGGCAAGCGUUGUUCGGAAUUACUGGGCGUAAAGGGCGCGUAGGCGGCCUGUUAAGUCGGACGUGAAAUCCCCGGGCUCAACCCGGGAACUGCAUCCGAUACUGGCAGGCUUGAAUUCGGGAGAGGGAUGUGGAAUUCCAGGUGUAGCGGUGAAAUGCGUAGAUAUCGGGAGGAACACCAAUGGCGAAGGCAGCUCGCUGGGACGGUACUGACGCUGAGACGCGAAAGCGUGGGGAGCGAACAGG
rnacentral:rRNA from 1 species